rnacentral:rRNA from 1 species
UACGUAGGGUGCGAGCGUUGUCCGGAAUUAUUGGGCGUAAAGAGCUCGUAGGCGGUUUGUCACGUCGGCUGUGAAAACCCGAGGCUCAACCUCGGGCCUGCAGUCGAUACGGGCAGACUAGAGUGCUGUAGGGGAGACUGGAAUUCCUGGUGUAGCGGUGAAAUGCGCAGAUAUCAGGAGGAACACCGGUGGCGAAGGCGGGUCUCUGGGCAGUAACUGACGCUGAGGAGCGAAAGCGUGGGGAGCAAACAGG